CCUAGUUGAUUUCGCGAGUAGCAUAUGUUUGUCACAAGGAUGAAGCCAUGAACGUGUAAAUGCAUAUGGCUGUUACAUUGAUACUGCAAACGGCUCUUUAAAUCAGUAAUGGUUUCUUUGGUAUCUCCAUCUGUCACUUCGAUAACUGUUGUAAUUUCAGAGAUAACACAUACCGACGAGCGCUGGCCUAUCAGGAUGCAUGCUUUAUACAAACCAAGCCAAUCAGGACUCACCCAGCUGCAUUGGUGACUCUAGACAACCUGGGGGUGAUUGUAGAUCCCUGUGAUGGUGACAAAACUGCUGGAUGUCUGCCCUAUCAACUUUCAAUGGUAUGGUCUGUGUCUACCAUGGUAUACAUGGGUAAUGGGAAUCGAGCCAGAGAAAUGGCAACCACAUCCAAGGAAGGCAGCAGGCGUCUAUAUUUCCCUCUGAUGACUCGGGGAGGUAGUGACAAAAAAUAACAAUAAAUGACUCCUUUGAGGCCCUGUAAUUGGAAUGAGUACACAUUAAAUUCUUAAAUGAGAAUCAAUUGGAGGGUAAGUCUAGUGCCAUCAUCUGCUAUAAUUCCAGUUCCUCUAGUGUGUAUGAAAGUUGCUGCAGUCAAAAAGGUCAUAGUUGGAUAUUGGGAUCGAGCUGGAGGUGUGCCUUCAGGUGAGCUGCUGCCUGUCCCAGCCCCUGCCACUCGGCGACCACUUGAUGCUCUUGACUGAGGUUCCCGGGGGUCAGAAUCAUUUACUUUGAAAAAAUCAGAGUGUUCAAAGCAGGUCAUCUGAAUACUUCAGCUAGGAAUAACUUAAUAGGACUAUGCAUCCAUUGUGUUAGUGUUCGGAACUGGGCCAUGAUAAAGAGGGGGCUGGGGCUUCAUAUUGUGUCACUAGAGUUGAAAUUUAAGGGAUGGAGCAAAAUGAGCCAAAAUGAAAGCAUUUCCAAGAAAGUCUUCAUCAAUCAACAUCAAAAGUCGGAGGUUCAAAGACGUCAUAGGUCUGAUCAUAAACGAUGCCGACUAGCAAACCGGUUACCUUAUUCCCAUUACCCACUGAGCAGCUUCCGGUAAGACAAUGUCUUGGCUACCAGAGAGAGUAUGGUUGCAAAUCAGAAAUUUAAAGCAAUUGACGGAAGGGCACCGCCUGUGGCUAAAAUGGACUCAACACAGCUAACCUCACCCGGCACAAAUAUGGAAAGGAUUGACAGAUUGAUAGCUCCAUCUCCAUUCUGUGGAUGGUGGUGCAUGGCUGUUCUUAUUUGGUGGAGCGAUUUGUCUCGUUAAUUGCAAUGACAAAUGAGACACCUCCAUGCCAUCUAUUUACACAACCCCAAGCAGUUGGCGUUCAACUUCUUAGAGGGACUAGUAGCAUUUAGCCACAUUAGAUCGAGCAAUAAUAGGUCUGUGAUGUCCUUAGAUGUCCGGAAAUGUACGUGUGCCACAAUGAGCGGCUCACCAUGUGUCUACCCUCUGUUCGUCAAAGAGUUUGGGGUUAGCAAUUUAUUCAAAUGAAUGAGGAAUUCCCUGAAAGUGAGGGUCCUAAGCUUGCUUUGAUUAGAUCCCUGCCCUUUGUUCACACUAUUUAUUUAUUUUUAUUUUUUACAUUUGUAGAUCUCACUACAGCCCAAAGGCAUUGAGGCGCUUUACUGCCACUGCCUGGCAGUACUACAGAUUGGAUGGUUCAGUGAGGUCAUCGGAUUGCCUCGCUGGGAUUGGCACCGGCCCUGCCAG
rnacentral:rRNA from 1 species